GUGAGAUAAGGAGAGGGAGAAGAGUUUGCAGACAUAAAAACAAAAGGGGUUAGACCAGGGAUGGUCAACUUUGAUGGGGGCCACAAAAAAUCACAAGGGGCCUUAGUGGCUCGCGGGUCUGCGUACCAACAUUCAUACCCACACAAGCAGUCAGAGUAGGCAUUAGCCUUUUGGGGACCAAAGAAACAUUUUUGCUAAAUCUUCUCUCCUUCCCAUGGCAAAAUGUGUAUAAUUGCAGAAUUUAAAUUUUCUGAAGACAUUUUAUUGCUUUAUACACAUUUUGCCAUGGGGCGUAGAGAAAAUGUUACAGUUUUAAAGCAAGUUUGCUGCAAUUAUACACAUUUUGUCAUAGGGUGGAGAGAAAUGUUUGUAGUUUUUAAUAUGAUAUUUGAGUGAGAGUGACUAACAAAAUCAAUCGGGGUCCCACGUCAGUAAUUCAACCAUGACUACUACAACUUUAGAUAGCUGAUAUGGGCUAAUUGAGUGAUUGUCAGUGUAACGGAUGUGAAACAGCUAGCUUAGUUAACGGUGGUGCGCGCUAAAUAGCGUUUCAAUCGGUGAUGUCACUUGCUCUGAGACCUUGAAGUAGUAGUUCCCCUUGCUCUGCAAGGGCCGCAGCUUUUGUGGAGCGAUGGGUAACGAUGCUUCGUCGGUGACUGUUGUUGAUGUAUGCAGAGGGUCCCUGGUUCGCGCCCGGGUAUGGGCGAGGGGACGGUCUAAAGUUAUACUGUUACAUCAGUGACUGACAAGAGAAAAACUGCUGAUGUACAACCACAUUUCAAAAUUGCACCCUGUGUAUUCUACUAUUCUAACUCUCAGACCCAAAUGAGUUCCAUUUGUUUUUUGGGAAAUUGAUCCGCGGGCCUAGUACCCCACCCCUGAAUUAGACAGUAAGAGGGACAGAGAAACAGAGAGAGAGGGGAUGGAGGGGGGGGACAGAGGUGUUUGCAGAGAAAGCAGCCAGACAAGGAAGCAGCAUUUUAUUGAACCCAGGCAGUUAGCUUGUGGGUUAAUCUCUCUCUCUCUGAUGUGGUCUGCUGUGGGGCUAACACUGCCUCCCCAGCCUCCGUGUCAAAGUCAAGCAGUCGCAACAGACCAUGUACAAGGGCCAGCCUGCUUAGUUAAUGGCAGUUUAUAUGCAUGCCUAUCAAUGUUAGCAACGCUCUCGUCUGAGGUCUCCGGGAGACGACAGACAUGAAAGAUGGCCUUAGAAGUAAUGGCGGUUGAGUUGUUCAGGGCCACUUCGUUUGAUUACCUGUGUGUGUGGUUCAACAACUCAAGAGUUAAACCCUCCCCCCUCCACAAAUAUGGAGCUUCCUCUCUUUCAUUCAAAACCCCCCACAUACAUGGAGCUCAGUCUUUGAACAUUCCAAACAAAUACUGCAGAGGAUAACUAUCUUACAGGGAUUUGGGGCAAAACAUGAUGCGUGUGAACGUCAUGUGGGAUUUGGAUAAGGAUUUGUGUAGGUUGCUCUUCACUGAUGUGUAGGGUAAACACAGCGGGAUAAGGAUUUGUGUAGGUUGCUCUUCACUGAUGUGUAGGGCAAACACAGCGGGAUAAGGAUUUGUGUAGGUUGCUCUUCACUGAUGUGUAGGGUAAACACAGCGGGAUAAGGAUUUGUGUAGGUUGCUCUUCACUGAUGUGUAGGGUAAACACAGCGGGAUAAGGAUUUGUGUAGGUUGCUCUUCACUGAUGUGUAGGGUAAACACAGCGGGAUAAGGAUUUGUGUAGGUUGCUCUUCACUGAUGUGUAGGGUAAACACAGCGGGAUAAGGAUUUGUGUAGGUUGCUCUUCACUGAUGUGUAGGUUAAACACAGCGGGAUAAGGAUUUGAGUAGGUUGCUCUUCACUGAUGUGUAGGGUAAACACAGCGGGAUAAGGAUUUGUGUAGGUUGCUCUUCACUGAUGUGUAGGGUAAACACAGCGGGAUAAGGAUUUGUGUAGGUUGCUCUUCACUGAUGUGUAGGGCAAACACAGCGGGAUAAGGAUUUGUGUAGCUUGCUCUUCACUGAUGUGUAGGGCAAACACAGCGGGAUAAGGAUUUGUGUAGGUUGCUCUUCACUGAUGUGUAGGGUAAACACAGCGGGAUAAGGAUUUGUGUAGGUUGCUCUUCACUGAUGUGUAGGGUAAACACAGCGGGAUAAGGAUUUGUGUAGGUUGCUCUUCACUGAUGUGUAGGGUAAACACAGCGGGAUAAGGAUUUGUGUAGGUUGCUCUUCACUGAUGUGUAGGGUAAACACAGCGGGAUAAGGAUUUGUUUCGUUUAUGGAUUGAGAUUUAAGUCAAGGUCUGUCAGUGUCACAGUGGGGGGAGAGUGUAUGAGUGUCUGUGUGUUUGAGAGAGGGAAUUAGGGUGUGUGUACUGUAUGUAUGUGUGGGGGGAGAGAUGCUAGCUGCUGGGGUCGUUCAGGAACUUCUCUGCAAGUGUGUGUGUGUUGCUGAGUGUGUGGGCACCAGGUCUGGUUGUGAUUUAAUGAGGACCACAGGGUGAGUGAUCCACAGCAGGCGCUUUUUCUAGGCCACGAGCCUAAUCAGAUUGAAGUGAGGAGAAUCAGGUUAAAGAGUUGGGAAGGCCAAAACAAGAGGAGUCAUUCUGGUGUUUUUUAUCUUUUUUAUUCCUGGGGUUGUAACCUGUAGCAUGUUGCUUGUGUUUUGUCAUUUAAAAAUGUCUCUCGGUAGUCUCUAUUCAUUUUGUUGAAAUGUGUUUUUUUUAAACUUACCAUUUAAAUGUAAAUUAUCAGUUAUACUA